UACGUAGGGUGCAAGCGUUGUCCGGAAUUAUUGGGCGUAAAGAGCUCGUAGGCGGUCUGUCGCGUCUGCUGUGAAAACUCAGGGCUUAACCCUGAGCUUGCAGUGGGUACGGGCAGACUAGAGUGCGGUAGGGGAGACUGGAAUUCCUGGUGUAGCGGUGAAAUGCGCAGAUAUCAGGAGGAACACCGGUGGCGAAGGCGGGUCUCUGGGCCGUAACUGACGCUGGAGGAGCGAAAGCAUUGGGGAGCGAACAGG
rnacentral:rRNA from 1 species